GACGAACGCUGGCGGCGUGCUUAACACAUGCAAGUCGAACGGAAAGGCCCUGCUUUUGUGGGGUGCUCGAGUGGCGAACGGGUGAGUAACACGUGAGUAACCUGCCCUUGACUUUGGGAUAACUUCAGGAAACUGGGGCUACUACCGGAUAGGAGCUCCUGCUGCAUGGUGGGGGUUGGAAAGUUUCGGCGGUUGGGGAUGGACUCGCGGCUUAUCAGCUUGUUGGUGGGGUAGUGGCUUACCAAGGCUUUGACGGGUAGCCGGCCUGAGAGGGUGACCGGCGACAUUGGGACUGAGAGACGGCCCAGACUCCUACGGGAGGCAGCAGUGGGGAAUAUUGCACAAUGGGCGGAAGCCUGAUGCAGCGACGCCGCGUGCGGGAUGACGGCCUUCGGGUUGUGAACCGCUUUCGCCUGUGACGAAGCGUGAGUGACGGUAAUGGGUAAAGAAGCACCGGCUAACUACGUG
rnacentral:rRNA from 1 species